ensembl:lncRNA
GCCCUUGGAAAUUAUUUGUAUCCAUUCACUUACUCCAUAUUUUUGCAUCAUAGGCUUAAUUUAUAAUUGAUUAAAUAUAUUUUUGUUUUGCCAUCAAUUGACACACAGUACCCCAUAAUGACAAAGUGAAAACACAUGUAGAAAUUUGUGCAAUUUAUUGAAAAAUUAAAGCUGAAAUCUCAAAUACAUUAUUAUUCAGACUGUUUGCUAUGACAUUUGAUCAAAUCUAGACCAUAAAAGAAAUUCAAGAAUCAAUAACUUGGAUCAAAUCACCAUCAGAAUAGGGAAAAUAACUAAGGAUAUUUGGUGGGACACCUGACUGCAGUGUUGGUGUAUAUUACAUUACAACCAGAGACGAGACUGCAACAUUUAAAUGAAGUAUUGCUAUAAAAAAGUGGGUGUCUCAUAAGAAUUAGCAUUGCAAAGGUGCCAGAUAAACGGUAUUUGUAAGUAUUAAUGUGUUUGCACUGUGUAUGUUGUAACACACAAAUUGUCAGUUAGCAGUUAACUUGGAUGGCGAGCUAAUACUUCUGACCGGAUUGUAAAUCUAACACUUCCCUUAAAAAGAAAAACACCAAGUAUUUGUCUCCAACUCACUUUAAUAGCAGGUAGUCAAUGCCGAACAAAAUAUUUUUUCAAGUGGGAUAAAACAGCAUUUGGUGAAAUAAUAUCAAAUAAAUAAAUUUAACAAAGCACCAUAAUAUUGAUCAAAGGCAUGAAUGUGCACUGCGAAUAUGGGAAGCUACAUUCAAUAAAAACCUUUCAUUUUCCAGCACAUGCACCAAAGUAAUAGAAAAAUUCUAAACUGAAUAUGUAAAAAUAAGAUCCAUAAACAGAAACUAAAGGCGCAAAAGCCAUAAAAUCAAAUUUUCACAUUAAAGCAGUAGAAGCAAGAAACUGCCACAAAGGAUGACCCUUUUCCCUUUUAAAAACACACUGGGACACUUCAGCCUCAAUGGGCAGGGUCACACUGCCUUUUCAAACAUCUUCAAGAACACUAGUAAUCAAAAUCACACAAGCGACCAUUACAAAAGAUGAUGGACAAAGACGGACAUUCAAUUGGAAACUAUGGUGAGCACAUAUUCUAUCAUACCUUCAGAACCCAAAUUGUAUAUUGGUGCUAAAAACUCAACUAGGAAAACUAAAAUACCACCUGGAAGGGAAGGUGCAUGAAGAGUGUUUAAACAGUAGCCUGGACACAUUUGUGUUAGAGGACUACUGGUAGUGUUGCCUUGCUUCACGUCACAACCAGACAACAGUAUUGAGAAGGGUACGACCUGGACAGGUGUGGGAGGUGGCUACAGUCUGUUCUGAGUCAUCAUCUACAGUAGGUUUCAGUGUAUCCAGUGGCAGCAGCCUCACAGCUCUCCCUGGAGGGCGCAUGCAAAAACAACUAAACAAAAAUACAAUCUCUUGUAAGUUUAGACAUAACAUGAUAAAAUCAACAUAUAAAAGGGUUUAAGAGAGAGUUGGACAGUGAGUAGAGAUUUGGAGUUGGGGGGUCAUAUCUCCCCUCAGUGCGACGACGGAUCAGGUGGGGGGGGGGCAAUUUUCACAUUCCGGCAGGCAGGGCUUGAAGGGGACAAAAAGGUCUCUUUACUUCUUCCAAAUGGUGUAGAAAACCCACCUGGUAGAGUUGCUGGUAAAGGAAAAUGCUAUGCCAACAACAAGCAACCACACAUAAGGUGUGUGGUUGCUUGUUGCUUUAUAAAGCUUGCAGACAAGAAAUGAAAUAAGAAUUAAUCUCAUAUUAACAUAAAAUACUCAAGCUAAAACAAAAAAUGUUAAUUAUAUAGUGAAUUUGAAAUACAAAUAUAUAGCAAUGGAU